UUUGAGGAGCUUGCUUUUUAAAGCUUAGUGGCGGACGGGGGAGUAACGCGUGAGCAACCUGCCUCUCAGAGGGGAAUAACGUUUUGAAAAGAACGCUAAUACCGCAUAACAUAUCGGAACCGCAUGAUUCUGAUAUCAAAGGAGCAAUCCGCUGAGAGAUGGGCUCGCGUCCGAUUAGUUAGUUGGUGAGGUAACGGCUCACCAAGACUACGAUCGGUAGCCGGACUGAGAGGUUGAUCGGCCACAUUGGGACUGAGACACGGCCCAGACUCCUACGGGAGGCAGCAGUGGGGGAUAUUGCGCAAUGGGGGAAACCCUGACGCAGCAACGCCGCGUGAAGGAAGAAGGUCUUCGGAUUGUAAACUUCUUUUGUCAGGGACGAAGAAAGUGACGGUACCUGACGAAUAAGCUCCGGCUAACUACGUGCCAGCAGCCGCGGUAAUACGUAGGGAGCGAGCGUUGUCCGGAUUUACUGGGUGUAAAGGGUGCGUAGGCGGCCGAGCAAGUCAGUUGUGAAAACUAUGGGCUUAACCCAUAACGUGCAAUUGAAACUGUCCGGCUUGAGUGAAGUAGAGGUAGGCGGAAUUCCCGGUGUAGCGGUGAAAUGCGUAGAGAUCGGGAGGAACACCAGUGGCGAAGGCGGCCUACUGGGCUUUAACUGACGCUGAGGCACGAAAGCAUGGGUAGCAAACAGGAUUAGAUACCCUGGUAGUCCAUGCCGUAAACGAUGAUUACUAGGUGUGGGGGGACUGACCCCUUCCGUGCCGCAGUUAACACAAUAAGUAAUCCACCUGGGGAGUACGGCCGCAAGGUUGAAACUCAAAGGAAUUGACGGGGGCCCGCACAAGCAGUGGAGUAUGUGGUUUAAUUCGAAGCAACGCGAAGAACCUUACCAGGUCUUGACAUCCUGAGAAUCCUUAAGAGAUUAGGGAGUGCCUUCGGGAACUCAGAGACAGGUGGUGCAUGGUUGUCGUCAGCUCGUGUCGUGAGAUGUUGGGUUAA
rnacentral:rRNA from 1 species